GGGGGCAUGGCGGAAUUGGUAGACGCAACGGACUUAAAAUCCGUGGAUCCUUAAGAUUAUGAGGGUUCAAGUCCCUCUGCCCCCAC
rnacentral:tRNA from 1 species